UGAAAAAGUGCGUGAAAGUGAUUUUGUGCCUCUUUGAGAUGGCACAAUAAUGCGUUGUUCGCUUGCAGAAUGCAAGAUUCUAGAGGGCACAUAACUCUUGCAAGUUUAA